UUUUCCAAGGUUGACCUCGGAUCAG
rnacentral:rRNA from 1 species